AUGGUUCCGCAAUGGUAACAAGGUCCUUCCUUCUUCACCAUCUUCAACCAGCAACCAAACAGCUAGCGGACGAACAAAAACCAAAGCGGAAGCAAAGCAAAAUUCUCCUCCUUUUUUAGCAAAUAAAGAGGGCAGAUUCAACAACUCUUAUGAACGAAUCUAGUAUCAUUCAGAUCCACAAGGGAAACAAUUUUCCACUGCCCGUCAAUCAAUCAAGUAAAAAAGAAAAUUCUCGGUCGGUGUUCGUCUGUCUUUCUACUCGCUCUCUUCUUCUGCUCCUUUAGAG
rnacentral:lncRNA from 1 species